AACGAUGUAGUUUAUUUAGAAUUUUGAGUUUGCGUCUCAAGGGAGGAGUUUAUUCUCUUCGUUA
rnacentral:tRNA from 3 species